rnacentral:rRNA from 1 species
AGCAGCCGCGGUAAUUCCAGCUCCAAUAGCGUAUAUUAAAGUUGUUGCAGUUAAAAAGCUCGUAGUUGAAUUUCGGGAUCAGACUGUCGGUCGUGCCUCGGUACGCACUGGCAUUAUUGGUUCCUACCUUCUGAAGAACCGCGAUGUCAUUAAUUUGGUGUCGCGGGGAAUCAGGACUGUUACUUUGAAAAAAUUAGAGUGUUUAAAGCAGGCUUACGCUUGAAUACAUUAGCAUGGAAUAAUGAAAUAGGACGUUUGAUUCUAUUUUGUUGGUUUCUAGGAUCGACGUAAUGAUUAAUAGGGAUAGUUGGGGGCAUUAGUAUUCAAUUGUCAGAGGUGAAAUUCUUGGAUUUAUUGAAGACUAACUACUGCGAAAGCAUUUGCCAAGGAUGUUUUCAUUAAUCAAGAACGAAAUUAGGGGAUCGAAGACGAUCAGAUACCGUCGUAGUCUUAACCAUAAACUAUGCCGACUAGGGAUCGGAUGAUGUUAAUUUUAUAAUGACUCA